GCAAGUCGAAUGAAAAAUACACUUCGGUGUAUGGACCAUGGCGAACGGGUGAGUAACACGUAGGUAAUCUGCCUUUGGGAUGGGGAUAACCCAUGGAAACAUGGAAUAAUACCGAAUAAUGUAACUUUUUCAAUGAUUAAGUUAUUAAAGGAGCUUCGGCUCCGCCUGAAGAUGAGCCUGCGGCUCAUUAGCUAGUUGGUAGGGUAAUGGCCUACCAAGGCAACGAUGAGUAGCCGACCUGAGAGGGUGAGC
rnacentral:rRNA from 1 species